rnacentral:rRNA from 1 species
UAGUACGGCGAGUGAAGAGGGAAGAGCCCAAGAUUGAAAGCUGGCGUCUUCGGCGUCCGCAUUGUAAUCUCAAGAAGUGUUUUCCGUUUCGGACCAUGCCUAAGUCCCUUGGAAAAGGGCAUCAUAGAGGGUGAUAAUCCCGUACAUGGCAUGGAGCGCCCGAAGCUUUGUGAUACGCUUUCUAAGAGUCGAGUUGUUUGGGAAUGCAGCUCAAAAUGGGUGGUAAAUGCCAUCUAAGGCUAAAUAUUGGGGAGAGACCGAUAGCGAACAAGUACAGUGAUGGAAAGAUGAAAAGAACUUUGAAAAGAGAGUUAAACAGUACGUGAAAUUGCCAAAAGGGAAGGGUAGGAGGUCAGAGAUGCGGCCUGGGAUUCAGCCUUGCUUUUGCUUGGUGUUUUUCCCAGAUUGCAGGCCAACGUCGGUUUUGGGCACUGGAGAAGGGUAGGAGGAACGUGGCACCUCUCGGGGUGUGUUAUAGCCUCCUACUGGAUACAGCGACCGAGACCGAGGACAGCAGCGUACUCGCAAGAGCGGGCCUUCGGGCACCUUUACGCUUAGGGCGUUGGCAUAAUGGCCCUCUACCACCCGUCUU